GAACCGGUACAGGUUGAAAACUGUUCGGAUGAGCUGUGGGUCGGAGUGAAAGGCUAAUCAAACCCCGUGAUAGCUGGUUCUCCUCGAAAUGCAUUUAGGUGCAGCGUCGCGUGCUUACCCUCGGGGGUAGAGCACUGAAUGAGCUAGGGCCCAUACCAGGGUACCAAACUCAACCAAACUCCGAAUACCGGGGGGUGGAACGCGGCAGUGAGACUGCGGGGGAUAAGCUUCGUAGUCGAAAGGGAAACAGCCCAGAUCAGCAGCUAAGGUGCCUAAAUAGUGCUCAGUGGAAAGGAGGUGGGAUUUCAUAGACAGUGAGGAUGUUGGCUUAGAAGCAGCCACCAUUUAAACAAAGCGUAACAGCUGACUCAUCGAGAGAUCCUGCGCCGAAAAUGAUUGGCGAUAAGCACUAUACCGAAGCUCUGGAUGCACAGUUUACUGUGCGUGGUAGAGGAGCGUUCUCAACACAUUGAAGCCUUAAGGCGACUGAUGGUGGAGAGUUGAGAAGUGAGUAUGUAGACAUGAGUAACGAUAAGCCGGGUGAGAUCCCCGGCCGCCGUAAACCCGAGGUUUCCUGGGCCAUGCUGGUCAUCCCAGGGUUAGUCGGGACCUAAGCCGAGGCCGAAGGGCGUAGGCGAUGGAAAGCUGGUUAAUAUUCCAGACACGGCCUGUAAUUUAAACUAGAAGGACGCAUAUCGAAUAAAGACUAUCUAACUGAAUUGGGAGGUGAAGGUUUAUCCUGAUCCGUAUCUUUUGAAGAUGUGCCAAGAAAAGUUCUAGUGUAUAGAAACAGGCCCCCGUACCGUAAACCGACACAGGUGGGUAGGUAGAAUAUACUAAGGCGCAAGAGUGAAACCCUGUUAAGGAACUCGGCAAAUUAGCCCCGUAACUUCGGGAGAAGGGGUCCCGGGACUUGUCCCGGGCGCAGUGAAAGGGCCCAUCCGACUGUUUAGCAAAAACACAGCAAUGGUGGGUCUGACAGGACUCGAACCUGUGACCCCCGCCUUAUCAAGGCGGUGCUCUAACCAGCUGAGCUACAGACCCGAUACGAUUCGGGGGGCUAG
rnacentral:rRNA from 1 species